rnacentral:pre_miRNA from 1 species
UUGAAGUGCAGUUGUGAGUUUUCGUAUCCAAUGUUUGACCGUUCGUCUUAUUUGAAAAAUUUAUGAAAAAAUUUAAAAAAAGUCACAGAUAAAGUAUUAUUCAUAUAUUAUCAUCUAAUAAUAAUAAAAAUUAAUCAUAAAUUUUUUUUAAAUAAGAUGGAUGGUCAAACGUUGAAUAAACAAUAC